rnacentral:lncRNA from 1 species
GGGAGAUAUGAAUGAUGAAUUGUACAAUGCCGUAAAUUUCUCGUUGGAUUAAUUAUGUUAGAUUCAUGCAUUAAUGAACUAGAAGUUCAACAAGUUAUUAUUGACUGCCACAUGAGUGAAAUCUUAUACAUAUGUCAUAUUGCACCACAAAUAAUUGAAGUCCCUGAAGGACGAAAUUGAUUUAAUGCUUAUUGACGCCAGAAGCGUAAACGACCUAUUGGUGCCCAAGAUAAAAUAUCCGCGGAUUACAAAAUCAAAUAAAGAACUCAAAUAAUUCCGAAACCUCAUGAAGAGGAUCGUCCUGAAGACGAUAAUCCCAAUACAUUUUGCACGUGCACUAAAUUAUCGUAAUAUUGGGAUUACGAAACAACUAGACCAAAUAUUAUGGAAAAUGGUGAAAAUUUGGUUUUACUAAAGUUGCCAUGAACUUUGUGAAUACGUGAGAAUCGUAUAAUAGAAAAAAUUAUAGUUGUCGACAA